CGGAAUUACUGGGCGUAAAGCGUGCGUAGACGGUUAUGUAAGUCAGGUGUGAAAGCCCCGGGCUCAACCUGGGAAUUGCAUUCGAGACUGUGUAGCUAGGGUACGGAAGAGGGAAGCGGAAUUUCAGGUGUAGCGGUGAAAUGCGUAGAUAUCUGAAGGAACACCAGUGGCGAAAGCGGCUUCCUGGUCCAGUACCGACGUUCAGGCACGAAAGCGUGGGGAGCAAACAGG
rnacentral:rRNA from 1 species